AGAGUUUGAUCAUGGCUCAGGAUGAACGCUAGCGGCAGGCUUAAUACAUGCAAGUCGGGGGGCAGCGGGGGUAGCAAUACCUGCCGGCGACCGGCAAACGGGUGCGGAACACGUACAGAACCUUCCUUUAAGUGGGGGAUAGCCCGAAGAAAUCCGGAUUAAUACCCCAUAGCAUUAUGAGACGGCAUCGUUUUAUAAUUAAAGAUUAAUUGCUUAAAGAUGGCUGUGCGUCUGAUUAGGUAGUUGGUGCGGGUAACGGCCCACCAAGCCUUCGAUCAGUAACUGGUGUGAGAGCACGACCAGUCACACGGGCACUGAGACACGGGCCCGACUCCUACGGGAGGCAGCAGUAAGGAAUAUUGGUCAAUGGACGCAAGUCUGAACCAGCCAUGCCGCGUGAAGGAUGAAGGUCCUCUGGAUUGUAAACUUCUUUUAUAUGGGACGAAACCCUUUUAUUCUUAAAAGAUUGACGGUACCAUAGGAAUAAGCACCGGCUAACUCCGUGCCAGCAGCCGCGGUAAUACGGAGGGUGCAAGCGUUAUCCGGAUUCACUGGGUUUAAAGGGUGCGUAGGUGGGUCUGUAAGUCAGUGGUGAAAUCUCCGGGCUCAACCCGGAAACUGCCAUUGAUACUAUAGAUCUUGAAUUUUCCGGAGGUAAGCGGAAUAUGUCUGUAGCGGUGAAAUGCUUAGAUAUGACAUAGAACACCGAUUGCGAAGGCAGCUUACUACAGGAACAUUGACACUGAGGCACGAAAGCGUGGGGAUCAAACAGGAUUAGAUACCCUAGUAGUCC
rnacentral:rRNA from 1 species